rnacentral:lncRNA from 1 species
AGAGAGAGAGAGAGAGCAUACCAAAAAGAUACAUCUUCUUUCCAUUGCUUUAGGUGAGACCAAGGUUGUACCCGUAAGGCCAUGCCAUUAUGUUAGAUCUCAAAAGAACAUAGUAAAAAAAUUAGAGACUGGAAGGUAAUUUCUGAAUUUUGAAGGAAUCAAGUAAAUGAAUAAUUUUGUUUUCCAAAUAUGGAUAAGGGGCACUCGUCCCCCAUCCACCCCCAAAAGCUCUUUUUGCCCUCCUAUUUUUCUGAAUAAGUUGUAGCAUUUUCCAUGUACGUGUACUAAUCAUAGUUGUUGAUGGAUGUAGUCAUAUUUACUUUUUAGUGACUUUCUGUCAUCUAUGUCCAACACAUAUAACACAUCUGCUACUUACCGAGGACAAACCUAAGACAGGAGGGGAUGGAGGUCACGAAUAAGGGUAGAAAGUUAGUAGGUAGUUGCGAGGUGCUCCUAUUACUAGCCUAUUCAUGUCCUUGGCUGGGUGGAUCUCCGUGUCAGUCAUAGUAUUAACAUAUUCAUGCAGGCUUUGGUUUUGGGUUUUUGAUUAUCACCUGUGGUUUACUGUGAACUACACCUUGUUCUUAAUGUUAUGGUUUCUUGCAUGCAUGCUCUGCACUACUUUGCUAUUAGCUGUCAUGUUUUUCUUUAAAUUACUGCCUUGAUUUGCUUGAGCCGAGGAUCUCUCGGAAACAGCCUCUUGACCUCGGAGAGGUAGUGGUAAGGCAUGUGUACACUCUACAUUCCCUAGGCGGAUUUCACAUGGGUUGUUGUUGUUUUUACUAUGUUUUUGGCUAAUAAUAAUUGUUUUGCGUGCUUCUUAUCUUGCAAUUUAUUUAACGUCAAGCUUUUUCCUCAUCGUUUUUUGAAAAUUUUCAUUGUCAUGCUUCUAUUACCAAACAGGAUUUCUGCAAUCUGGAGCUUGUUGUAAUGGAUAUGGGAAGAGGUAUUUCUUAACUACUAUUUUGUCGUUUUUGCUGCUUCCUUAUUUUCAUAGCUCAUGCAAUUUAGAGUUCCAAUAUAUCCAGAAAUCUUCUCUUUGUUGGUCUCACUCGAAACAGGCACUUUUUUGAAUUUGAUUAAUCAGAAAAGCAUUUGUGUUAUGACUGAAAUGAUUGUGAAAACAUUAUCACGGUAGUGGCAAGAAGCAGUAACUGGAAAGUCUAAUUGCAUUCUUGAAUCUGCUUACCAGGAAGGAUCAGAAUCUGGUUAAUUGCAACCAGCUUAUGUUUGGAUAAAAGUUAAAUUAAGACGUUUAGCGAUGCAUGCUAAAAAAGGCCUCGUAUGGAUUCUUUUGUUGCUGGAACCUGCAUAUUAACGACACCAUCUACCAACUAUCUUCCAAAAAGUACAUAGCAAAUUGAAUUUCUAGUGCUUCCACUUCAUUCAUAACUGAUUGUAAGUGAGUAACAUGAUACAUUUCCCAAGUGAAUAGCUUGAUGUUCUUAUGGAUUUGUUGAUCUUUUAUGGGAUAUUCAUGUCCUCAUUUAUUUGAUUAGUUGUGUAAGUUUCGUCAUAAAUAAAUUACCCAUGCCAUGGAAGUGAAUUUAGGGUGAAUCAAGAUGCACCCGUCCUUUUCCCAUCAUCGCUAACUCAUUUACAUUCCCUCUAUUCAUCCACUACAACAAUUAAAUCUUUGGAAUUCAAACCAAUGAUGAUCAAAAUCUCUUAACCACCUCGAGGCGAGCCAUAGCCCUAACCUCAAUCAAAGGGGUUAUUUCCACCAUGGAUAAUCUACCCAUACCAUAUUAUCAAAAAUUCAUCAAGCCAGGUGAUAUUUGUGUUAAUAUCAUAAUAUAACACAAAUAAUCCAUAUAAUACUCUCUUUGGUGGUUGGGUUAGGAUUUGGGGUCAAAACAUCUUCAAUGUCUUGUGCCCUAGCUUGGGUGUAGGAAGAAUGGGGCGAAAAUCCCAUCUUUCAGAUUUUCAUAUUGCUAGUACAUCAGAUAAGUCGCGUCAUGGUGUAGCCAUCACGUGAAAGGAUUUCUCUUCACGCUAUGGUGCACAUGUCGUGUGCGUGAUUGCUGAAUCAACCCGGCACUACAAUGGAGGCUUACUGUGCUUCCCUUCAUUUUUUAACUUCAAUGCUCCUCCCUUUAUGCUACCAUAUCAAGCCCACUCAUUUCUGAUUCUUCCCAACAAACAAAUCAUUGUUCCACAAUCGACACUAUGUUUAAGCAACAUAUCCAACCCCAAACAUAUAAUAGCAUUAAAUAGCACAUUUAGAAGCAUGAAAUGGGUUUAAAAGUGUAUGGGUUUGAUUGAAUAAUGAAGGAUCUUGUACAUUAGUGAACUUGUCUCUUAACCUUAUUUCCUCUUUUAUGCACCCACGAGGGCGGGUAGGUGUAGAAGAUUGCGUGUCAUUUGUAGAAAACCAUAUCUUUUUGUAAGAUUUUCUACUUAUUGGUAUAACGUUUUUUUAAAAAAACUUAUUGUUAAUAGUAUCUUAUACCUGAUCAAAAAACAAGCAUAUAGGAGCAUGCAGGGCUUUACAUUUGCGUGAUAUUUUCUUGCACUGCUUGUGAAAGAAUGGAAUAUUUGCAGUAGAAACCUGUUUUUUAACCAGCUCUGGUACAUUCAUCCCUCUGAGGUGGCCCUUUCUGUUGACAUAGUUUUCUGAUUAGAUUUAUUCAUCAUAAGCUUAAGCUCAUUUAUCCAAUCGUAAAUAUAGAUAUUCUCAUCAACUAUAACUUUAGUUGAACGGGAAAUUGGAAGAAUGUGUGUUUGAAGAAAUAAAUGUUGAGAGCCUGUCAGAAUUUCUAUUUAUCUUUUUGUAUUUGUGUCUAUAUCUUAACAGGCGUCUGAGUUGUCCAUUUGAUACAGAUUAGACUAAUGUGUGGUGCUGUAUUUUUAAUUUGAACUGUUCUUUGCAGGUUAUACUGUUGGUUAUUCAUUAGCUCCGCUGAACCAUAUAUUUAGACCCCAAGAGAAUCCAGCGUCUUACAACAGUUCACUUGAAUUCAAUUGGCUAGAGUUGUCCUCUUCGGGGUCUACGGUGAUUUUCUCUUCUGUUCCUUCUUCUUUUUAUAUUGUUCCUGAAAACAAAAUAGGAAUUGCUUUACGGUGUCCCGUUUUGCUACUUUUUUAUGGUGUCUUGCUUAUCUCACCAUGAAAUGCAGAUGAUAACUAGUGAAGGAAAAGAAAUGAAAUCAUCAGGAAGAAUAAAAUUAGCUGCUUACUUGUCUCCUCAACUUGAAGUUGGAAAGAGUGAGAAGUCCUAUAACACUAAGGCAAGAUCUGGGUUUAUCCAGAUUAGUCCUACCAGAGAAGGACCUUGGACUACUGUGAGGCUGAAUUAUGCUGCACCUGCUGCUUGUUGGCGACUAGGAAAUACUGUUGUUGCCAGUGAAGUGAGCGUAGCUGAUGGAAAUCGAUAUGUCAAGAUUAGAUCUCUGGUUUUAGUUCGUAACUACACAGAAUUUACACUGGAUUUACAGCUCACGCUCAAUGCUUCAAAUGAGAAAAAAAGACAUGAUAAUGAUGAGACACAAGAGGUUUAUGUUGAUGAAGUUGUGACAGAUGAGUUUUUUGAGACCCAGAAAUAUAAUCCUGAUAUUGGGUGGUUUGACGCUAAUGAGGUAUGUAUCCACAUUUUAUUGUUUUUUUACCUGUACUUAAGUAGCAAUUGGCUUCUCUAUUUCUGGUCUUAAGCCAUCAAUUUCUGUCAUUUGGGUAGGGGACAAAUGAAGUUGAGCUUCCAUCAGGCUGGGAAUGGGUUGAUGAAUGGCAUGUAGAUAAGAAAUCUGUGAACACUGCUGAUGGAUGGGUUUAUGCUCCAGAUUUCAAUAGUUUGAAAUGGCCAGAGUCGUCCAAUCCACUAAAAUCUGUUAACUAUGCAAAACAGAGACGGUGGCUUAGGAACAGGAAAGGCAAGUCAAGAGAUCUCAAGGCUCAGAUUUAUGUUGGGCCUAUAAGACCUGGGGAAGUUGUUCCGUUGCCUUUAUCUGUCCUGACCCAUUCUGGACUAUACGUACUGCGAGUGCGGCCUUCUUACUUGGGAAAAACUGAAGAAUAUUCAUGGAGUUCUGUAAUGGAUGUGUCUGGAAACACUCGGGAUCUUGAGAUGCCAACAGAAAACGCUGGAAUAUCUGUAUCAAAUCUCAGUGAGUCUGAGGAACUCCUAUACUGCCCUGCAGUUAGUGGAACCUCAUCCAACAGUAACCGGGGCAUGUGGUUUUGCUUGAGUAUACAAGCAACUGAGAUCACAAAGGACAUGCACUCUGAUCCAAUUCAAGAUUGGACCCUUGUGAUCAGGCCACCCCUUGCGAUUACCAAUUAUCUUCCUCUUACUGCUGAAUAUUCUGUUCUUGAGAUGCAAGCCAGUGGUCAUUUUCUCACUUGCGUUAGAGGGAUAUUCUCUCCUGGUGAAUCUGUCAAGGUUUAUAGUGCCAACAUAAGGAAUCCUUUGUACUUCUCGUUGCUUCCACAAAGAGGAUGGUUGCCGUUACAUGUUAGUUGUUGUGAUAACUUUGUGUUCUCUUCACCCAGUUGAUUCUUGAUGCCUUUUCUAAUGCACUGUAAUGAUGCUAACUUCUUAACGUUCUUUACAGGAGGCUAUACUCAUAUCCCAUCCUAAGAUGGCACCUUCAAAGACAAUAAAUCUAAGAAGUUCAAUUUCUGGAAGGUCUCAAAGAAAAUAAGAUAGCUGAUUAAGUUCUUUCUUCAUUUUGUGUAAAAUGUUAUUUUAGUUUUCAUUCUUAAUUCUUUAAGCUACUGGCGCUUGCAGGAUUGUUCAAGUAAUUGCUGAACAUACGCAUACCCAUGAAAGGCCGCUGCAAGCAAAGAUUACCAAGGUCUAUGCUCCUUUUUGGCUUUCAGUUGCACGAUGUCCGCCAAUUACUUUCAGGCUUAUAGACUUGAGUGGUCGGAAAACAAAGAAGAAGAUUGCUUUGCCUUUGCUAUCUAAAAGGAAUAAUGAUCUUGUCCUAGAGGAGAUCUCUGAGGAGGAAAUAUAUGAAGGAAAUACAAUUGCAUCUGUUAUAAACUUCAAGUUGCUAGGCCUUUCAGCAUCACUGUCGGGUGAGAAGAGUUUUGGUCCUGUUAAGGAUCUUUCUCCGUUGGGUGACAUGGUAAAGAAUCUUUAUCCUGUGUAGUAUAUGUUUUAUCCGUGUUUAGAAACCUAUCCAUAAUCCGUCCUCAAUAUUAGGAUGGCUCGUUGGAUUUCUGCGCCUACAACACUGAUGGAAAUUGCAUGCGGCUUUUUGUAUCAUCAAAACCUUGCCCUUAUCAAACUGUUCCAACGAAGGUUCUGUCUCAACAGCAGUAUCAGCUUCGUUCUCUUAACUCCUAUAGAAUCCAAUUCAAACAUCUUUACUGAGUACUUACCAGCUCUUUUGGCAGGUUAUUACUGUUCGGCCAUUUGUUACAUUUACCAAUAGACUUGGUCAAGAUAUAUUUUUGAAAUUGAGCAGCGAAGAUGAGCCAAAGGUUUUACGUGCAUCUGAUGUCAGAGCCUCAUUUGUAUAUCGCGACACAGGUGGACCUGAUGAACUCCAGGUGAGUGGAUUCUCUGUACUGUGUUAUCUGAACUUAAAAUUAAUUAAAAAAUGCCUAUGGGAAAUACAUCCCUAAUAUUGGUGUCUUACACAGUCUACACUUCUUUCUUUUUCGCCCUCUUCUGAAACCGUGAGGCAUGAAUGAUAUGGUAACGAACUGUCUUCAUUUGGCUUUGAACUUCUAUAUUUCUAAGAGGAUAUAUCUCUCAGCCUUAUGAUUUUCAUUAUAUAUUUCUCAUUUGGAAUUUAGUAUAUUUAUGGUGCUAUAAAGUUUUUUUUUCUGCCAUUUCUGAUGCAUUAAUCAAAGUAAUUUUGUUCCACUCUAGACGCUGCCAUAAACGUGUUGACUAUUUGUUUAAACAAGGUACUAUUAGGGUUACUGGUGUGACCAUAGAUUAUGGACCAUGGCUGUGCUAGUUUGAAAAAGUGGAUAUGUAGUAAAUUUCCUGGUGAAGUUUCUUACGUGUUCAUUUUGGAAGGAAGGUGUCAAUAAUACCACAUAAUCCCUCAUUUUUUCCGCCUUCUUGAUUGUUAGUUAUUGCAGUUUUUGAGAGUUAGCUGAUAGCAGGCAAAUUCACUUACAAUUUAAUAUCAAUUUUGAAGGUCCGACUGGAUGAUACAAAUUGGUCAUUUCCUGUUCAAAUUGUUAAGGAGGACACAGUUCCUCUUGUCUUGAGGAGAAAUGAUGGCACUCGGAGAUUUUUGAAGAUGGAAGUCCGUGGCUUUGAAGAGGGGUCACGUUUCAUUGUUGUUUUUCGCGUUGGAUCAACAAGGGGUCCAAUCAGGUACCUGAUUAAUCUAUGUUUAGUUACAGGGCUCUGCUACUUCAAGCUUCUGAUUAAUUCAAAUCUUGUCUCAUUAAUCAACUAUAUAUGCUUGAUAGGAUCGAAAACAGGACGAAGAGGAAGGUCAUUAGACUUCGGCAAUCUGGAUUUGGCAAUGAUGCAUGGAUCCAGCUAUUGCCUCUUUCAACCACAAACUUUUCAUGGGAGAAUCCCUAUGGCCAAAAACUUAUUGAUGCUGAGAUUUACAGUGGCAAUAGCUCUAGGGUCUGGAAAUUUGAUUUGGAGAAGUCAGGGUUCUGUUCUGAGUGUGAUGAAUUAGGCUUGCUUUUCCAUGUUAUAGAUAUGGCUGAUGUCAGGGUUGCUAGGUUUAUCGAUGAGGGAGCAGCAUUAUUAAGUUCAAAAGAAGGGAGCACGUCUCUUGCAGAAGUUGGAAAUCUUGGCAGUUCUCACAUACAGAACCAGAUGCAGGAGAAUGGAUCUCAUUUAGAAGUUACAGUUGAGUUGGGUGCAAUUGGGGUUUCUGUUGUGGACCAUAGACCCAGAGAGGUAUUAUAUUUGUAUCUAGACAGAGUAUUCAUAUCCUACGCUACCGGAUAUGGUGGUGGAACUACUAGCAAGUUUAAGCUUAUAUUGGGGUACUUGCAGCUUGACAAUCAACUUCCCCUCACAUUGAUGCCUGUACUUCUGGCACCUGAACAAAACAUUGAUAUGCAUCAUCCAGUCCUCAAGAUGACUUUUACAGUGCGCAAUGAGAACAUUGAUGGUGUUCAGGUAUACCCAUAUGUUAAUGUAAGGGUAACAGAUAAAUGCUGGAGGCUUAACAUUCAUGAGCCGAUAAUUUGGGCUUUUGUAGAUUUCUAUAACAAUCUUCAACUGGAUCGCCUACCAAACAGUUCUAGUGUCAGCCAGGUUGAUCCUGAAAUACGUGUGGACUUGAUUGAUAUAUCUGAACUAAGACUGAAGUUAUCAUUAGAGAGUGCACCUGCUCAAAGACCAGAUGGGGUUCUAGGCGUAUGGGGACCAGUACUGUCGGCUGUUGGAAAUGCCUUCAAAUUACAGAUCCAUUUAAGAAAAGUGAUCCGCAGAGACAGAUUUAUGAGAAAAAGCUCGGUCAUUUCUGCAGUGGGAAACCGUAUUUUUAGAGAUUUAAUUCAUAACCCUCUGCAUUUAAUAUUUUCAGUGGAUGUGCUGGGUAUGACAAGCUCAACUUUAGCCUCUCUCAGCAAAGGCUUUGCUCAACUAUCAACAGAUGGACAGUUUUUGCAGCUGCGUUCAAAGCAGAUAUGGUCAAGAAGAAUAACCGGAGUUGGUGAAGGGAUCAGGCAAGGGACUGAAGCCCUGGCACAAGGUGUUGCAUUCGGAGUUUCUGGGGUAGUGACAAGGCCUGUGGAGAGUGCUAGACAACAUGGCCUUCUUGGCUUUGCCCAUGGGCUUGGACGAGCUAUGGUGGGAUUCGUUGUUCAACCAGUGAGUGGAGCAUUGGACUUCUUUUCAUUGACUGUCGACGGGAUUGGUGCAAGUUGUUCUCGUUGCAUUGAAAUCCUUAGCAACAAGACCACCUUCCAUAGGAUAAGAAAUCCCCGUGCUAUUCAUGCAGACAAUAUACUUAGAGAUUACAGUGAGCGAGAAGCACAGGGUCAAGUGAUACUACACCUUGCUGAAGAGAGCCGUCAUUUUGGUUGCACUGAACUUUUUAAAGAGCCUUCUAAAUUUGCCUUGUCUGAUUAUUAUGAAAAUCAUUUUAUGGUUCCCUAUUCGCGGAUUGUUUUAGUGACUAAUAAACGUGUAAUGCUUCUCCAGUGUUUGUCUGCUGAUAAGAUGGACAAGAAGCCCUGCAAAAUCAUGUGGGAUGUACCUUGGGAAGAACUCAUGGCACUUGAAUUAGCUAAAGCUGGCUACCCUAGACCUUCUCACUUAAUCAUCCAUGUAAAAAAAUUCCGAAGGUCUCAGAAGUUUGUCCGGGUAAUAAAGUGCAACACUGAAGAUGAAACUGAGGUGCCUCAAGCUGUAAGAAUUUGUUCAGUUGUGCGUAAGAUAUGGAAAGCAUAUCAAACUGACGUGGCAUGUCUACAACUAAAGGUUCCUUCAAGCCAGAGACAUGUAUCCUUUGCAUCACAUGAUAAUGAUGGAAGAGAUUCAUUUAGCCAGAAAAAGCCUAUAAUUGAAUCAAGGGGGCUGGCUUCCUGGGGUGCUGUCUCCGAUAGAAGGAAAUUUGUUCAACAUGCUAUCACAUUUUCUAAGGUAUGGAGCAGUGAACGAGAGUUGAAAGGUCGUUGUACAUUGUGCCGGAAGAAUGUUUCAGAAGAUGAUGGGAUCUGUAGUAUCUGGCGCCCUUCCGGUUUACCCCAUGGGUACAUCUCAAUUGGGGAUAUUACUCAUGUUGGUUGUCAUCCUCCUAAUGUUUCAGCUGUAUAUCGUUAUUCUGACAAAUUAUUUGCCCUCCCAGUCGGCUAUGACCUGGUGUGGAGGAACUGCUUAGAUGAUUACACGAAUCCCAUAUCAAUUUGGCAUCCUCGUGCUCCUGAAGGCUUUGUCUCUCCUGGAUGUGUAGCUGUACCUGAUUUUGCUGAGCCGGAACCAAAUGCUGUAUACUGUGUUGCAGAAACAUUGAUCGAGGAGACAGUAUUUGAAGAACAAAAGAUCUGGGAAGCACCAGAUUCAUAUCCCUGGGCAUGUCAUAUCUACCAGGUGCGCAGUGAUGCACUUCAUUUUGUUGCUCUCAGGCAACCAAGGGAAGAAUCUGAUUGGAAGCCAAUGAGAGUUAUCGAUGACCCACAGCUUCACAUUGACGCGUAGUAAGCUUGUUUCCUUGUAUUCCAGUGUCUAAUAACCCAGUAAACAAAGCAGCUUUCUUGAUUUUGCUUUCCCCGUUGGAGAAAUACUGGUUUGUGGCGCUACUUCCUUCUUAAUUGAAAAGUAGUCUCGAGUAGUUUGUACAGUCCAAACUGUGUAUUGAUGUACAUAGUUGUACCAUUGGGAUCACAACGACAUGUUAUGGAUCUUCCUCAGAGGCUCCUUUUCCCUAAUUUUUGGUACUGAUCAUUUUACAGCAAUCAAAAGCUCCUUUAAGCUUUAUAGUUAUUAGUUAUCGAUGUUGCAGUCUUCAUUUUUCAUUUAUUUCCUAUGUUUACUGAAAUCUAUGAUGGCUAAAGGUAGUUUAUAAGGUAUUUAUUUUGCCUUAUACGCACUUUAGCACUAUUUCAAAAUUUAUGAACGGGAUCUACGCUAGAAAGGCUGCAAGAUCUGUGCUAUAUAUUUUUCAUGUCAUCUUAUUUGUUGAAUAAACUUUAGACAGGAAAAGGUACUCAAAAUCAUUAAAAUCGUAA